rnacentral:rRNA from 1 species
UACGUAGGGUGCGAGCGUUGUCCGGAAUUAUUGGGCGUAAAGAGCGCGCAGGUGGUUGAUUAAGUCUGAUGUGAAAGCCCACGGCUUAACCGUGGAGGGUCAUUGGAAACUGGUCGACUUGGGUGCAGAAAGGGAAGUGGAAUUCCAUGUGUAGCGGUGAAAUGCGUAGAGAUAUGGAGGAACACCAGUGGCGAAGGCGGCUUCCUGGUCUGUAACUGACACUGAGGCGCGAAAGCGUGGGGAGCAAACAGGAUUAGAUACCCU